UUAGUUGUUUGUUUACCUUCACUGUACAGCGCCGCGCCAAUCCACUGUGACUGGCUUGCUGCAGAGCGUGAGCGUCUUGGGAAUACCCGGUCAAUAUAAUGGAUAUAAUAUGGACACAUAAGACAAUCAAUAUUCUGUAUUUGUUAUGGAUUUAUUGUAAAAAUUCCCUGAAAAGAUGCACGUUGCAGGAUGAAUUGAAAAGCUCCCGUAAGGGCUGAGAUGGCAGAGGACAGCUGAUUUGGAACGGAACAACAGCUGUACGAGAGAGACAAAGGAGUGAGGCUGCUGGUUCACACUGUUGCACAUUUGUUUUGUUUGCUUGGAAGAUCGGAAAAUAAACCUGCAGAAAUCUAAA